GCCCAAGUGGUGGAAUUGGUAGACACAGGGGAUUCAAAAUCCCCCGGCUUAACGGCCUUGCCGGUUCGAGUCCGGCCUUGGGUACCA
rnacentral:tRNA from 1 species